CUUUACUGUAGCUUGGAAUUGGGUUCGGGCUUUGCUUGCGCAGGAUAGGUGGGAGACUAUGAAGUUGCUCUUGUGGGAGUAAUGGAGUCAACGGUGGGAUACCACUCUGGUGAGGCUAGAAUUCUAACUUGUUCCCGUUAUCCGGGAGAAGGACAAUUUCAGGUGGGCAGUUUGACUGGGGCGGUCGCCUCCUAAAAGGUAACGGAGGCGCGCAAAGGUUUCCUCAGGCUGGUUGGAAAUCAGCCGAAGAGUGUAAAAGCAGAAGGAAGCUUGACUGUGAGACUGACAAGUCAAACAGGGACGAAAGUCGGCUUUAGUGAUCCGACGGUUCCAUGUGGAAGGGCCGUCGCUCAACGGAUAAAAGUUA
rnacentral:rRNA from 1 species